rnacentral:pre_miRNA from 1 species
AGCCUUGUGUAUCCGCGCUGAGAUUUCAUUACACACCAGACUACCAAGUCUGAUGAAACUCCCAAGAUAAGUGAAGCG